GAGUUUGAUCGUGGCUCAGAUUGAACGCUGGCGGCAUGCCUUACACAUGCAAGUCGAACGGCAGCACGGGAGCUUGCUCCUGGUGGCGAGUGGCGAACGGGUGAGUAAUGCAUCGGAACGUAUCCUGGAGUGGGGGAUAACGUAGCGAAAGUUACGCUAAUACCGCAUAUUCUGUGAGCAGGAAAGCGGGGGACCUUCGGGCCUCGCGCUCUUGGAGCGGCCGAUGUCGGAUUAGCUAGUUGGUGAGGUAAAGGCUCACCAAGGCGACGAUCCGUAGCAGGUCUGAGAGGAUGAUCUGCCACACUGGAACUGAGACACGGUCCAGACUCCUACGGGAGGCAGCAGUGGGGAACUUUGGACAAUGGGGGCAACCCUGAUCCAGCCAUGCCGCGUGAGUGAGAAGGCCU
rnacentral:rRNA from 1 species